UACUCGCCAUAUAAACAAAAACAAACCAAACCAAAAGCCAGGCACGGUGGCUUUCUUCAAUCCCCCACCAGCAGCACUGGCACCUGAACAACUAUUUGGACGUGCAUUGUGAGGGUUACUCUUCACUGCCAACCUAACUGGAUUCAGAAUCACCUAGGAGACACACCUAUGGACGUGUCUGCAUGGUGUUCACAGAGGAUUAACUGAAGGUGAGCUAUGAUGAGAUGGGUGGACCAUCCCACCGUCAGGGGCCCAGGAAAAUUAAGAGAGGAAAGAGGGAAAGCCAGAUCAGUGCCUGCACUCUCCUUUCUCUGUGUCCUAGUCCGCCAAGCGUGAAUAAAUCCCUGCCCCCACCUCAGCGAGUCACUCGAGCCUCCAUGCCUUACCCACAAUGAACUGCAUACAGAACCCAAACUGUCUUCCUUUUGAUUAUGUAACUGUGUAUGGGGAUGUGCACAUGAGUGCAGGCGCACUCUGAGACCAGGGACACUGAUCUCCCUGGAGCUGGAUACAGGAAGUUGUGACUGGCCUGACACACGGACCAUCUGCAGAAGCAGUAUGCACCCUUAACACUGAGUCGUCGCUCCAGUCUCAGCUGGGAGUUUACUUUCAGCCUCGGCAUAUAGCAGGCAAUAUGAAAUGUUGAUUUCUAGGUCAAAAUAUUUAACCAGGUAGCCUACAAACUGCUUCACGGGGACAGGCGACUAUGUUCAAACAGUCAGAACUCACGGGCUUGCUGAAGAUGCACUGGGCUCCAGCACACUGACCUUAGGAGCUUUUUCAGCUUUCAGCUUUCGAACCACCUCCCCUUGGGCAGCAAUUUUAUCAUACAGAGAUCUAUCUUCCCCAGCGCUGGGCAGUGACUUAGUGGAGGCGCUCUGCGCUGCUGCAGAGGGAGGGUUCCCAGGUUUAUACUCCUGCCCAGUCUUCUGUUUAUAUUCAGCUUUUAAAGCCAGAAGCUGCUUCACAGCUGCAUCUACAUCUUCCUUUGCCGCUUUCUUGGCUUUCAGUUCACGAACCACAUCCCCCUGAGCCGCCACUCUGUUGUAAAGGACGGAGGACUCCUCAGAGGCAGCACAAGGACUCACAGCAGGCACUGGUCCUUCUUUAGGAGCAGAGCUUGUCUAUGGAUGCAGAAAAACAAAAGUCAAGUAUUAAUUCUUGUCAAACAUUGUCACAAGCUUAUAUCAAACUUAGUAUUUCAAAAGCUCAGAUGAAUCAGCUCACACCUAAAAACCUUAUCCCCACAGAGAUGGCAGCAGUAGACAAAGGGAGAAGUAAGCAGUCAUCACAGCAUUGUCAUCACAGUGAAACCCAAGGGAGGAAGAGGGUUCCACAGGAGCUUGUGUCUUUCUCUUUAGAAGAGGAAAGUAGUGUAAUGUAUCCACUCAGGUCAGGAAUAAAUCACUGCUACUCUGACUUAAA